AUUGAACGCUGGCGGCAUGCCUUACACAUGCAAGUCGAACGGCAGCACGGGAGCAAUCCUGGUGGCGAGUGGCGAACGGGUGAGUAAAGUAUCGGAACGUGCCCAGUCGUGGGGGAUAACGUAGCGAAAGUUACGCUAAUACCGCAUACGAUCUAUGGAUGAAAGCGGGGGAUCGCAAGACCUCGCGCGAUUGGAGCGGCCGAUAUCAGAUUAGGUAGUUGGUGGGGUAAAGGCUCACCAAGCCGACGAUCUGUAGCUGGUCUGAGAGGACGACCAGCCACACUGGGACUGAGACACGGCCCAGACUCCUACGGGAGGCAGCAGUGGGGAAUUUUGGACAAUGGGCGAAAGCCUGACGACGCAACGCCGCGUGGAGGAUGAAGAUCUUCGGGUCGUAAACUCCUUUCGAUCGAGACGAAUGGCCUCUGGGCUAAUCACCAGGGGAAUGACGGUACCGAGAGAAGAAGCCCCGGCUAACUCCGUGCCAGCCGCCGCAGUAA
rnacentral:rRNA from 1 species